CCCCUAGAUGUUCUGGGCCGCACGCGCGCUACACUGAACAGUUCAACAAGUCUUAACCUUGGCCGAUAGGUCUGGGUAAUCUUUGAACGCUGUUCGUGAUUGGGAUAGACCUUUGCAAUUAUGGGUCUUCAACGAGGAAUUCCUAGUAAACGCAAGUCAUCAGCUUGCAUUGAUUACGUCCCUGCCCUUUGUACACACCGCCCGUCGCACCUACCGAUUGAAUGGUCCGGUGAAAUCUCGGGACGGCGGCCUCUUGACGGUUUUCCGUCGAUUGGCUGUGGGAAGUUCGUUAAACCUUAUCAUUUAGAGGAAGGAGAAGUCGUAACA
rnacentral:rRNA from 1 species